UGGGAUAGCUCAGUUGGUAGAACAUGAGACCCUUGACCCCAGGGUUGUGAGUUCAAAUCCCACAUUGGGCAAAA